ensembl:lncRNA
UGUUUCAACCAAAGAUGUUACCUGGGCAGAGGAAUUCCAUGGAGAAAUUGCUGGCUGCUGAUGUACCUGAUGUAUCUUGGUUCACGGGAGUGACUUUUGUACUCUAUGCACCCUGAUUUUACUCAGGAGCAACUUUUGAACUCUACAUGUCCUGAUUAUUCUUUCAUACUGGUAUUCUCUGAAGACUUUUCAGGUGGCCCAUGCAUUCAUUUUCCCUUUUUUUUUCACCAGCUUAAAGGUGGCCCAUUUAAUUCUUGUCACUUUUUUUGUUUGUUCGUUUGUUUGUUUGUUUUUUAUUUUAAUCCAAAAGUGCAUUGAAUAUCCUGCCAUAUCUAGGUGUUGUUCAGGGUAUAGACUUUAUUCAGGUUUUAUUAGAAGAUUCAAGUCAGGUCUUAAAGAAAUUGGAAGAGAGAAUCUAGAGAAAUCAAUCUGCAGUAAAAUAAUACAAUAUUAAUGAUAUAAAGGGAAAUUUCAAGAGAGGGAGCUAUUAAUAAAAACUUUUAAACCCAUUUCCUGUAGGGGACAUUUAAAUACAAAAGAGUGAAUGGCAACUUACCACUUCUAUCAGCUAAUAGCAGCAGCUAUAUCACCUGGAAACUCUUCUGUCUCGCUCUCUUUAGCUGCUGUUACUCUACUGACAAGAUUUGAGUACUCACCUAAGAGUAAAAAUAUUCAAAUUCCCAAUUCCUCUGGAUAAUGCAUAAUAUAAUUGCACUUCUGUUGCACUUCAGGUGGCUGUAUGGACAUUGUUGGAGGACAUGAAGUGCAUCCUCACUCCUGAGCUUAUAUGGCUGCCAUCCAGCAUAAGAAUUUAGGUGUUAUUUUGUGGAGGAACUAUUGUGAAAAAAUUGGUUUUGAGAGCAGCACAUUGUGAGCAGAACAGCAUGAAUUCAGCAACAUGAAUUUCUGCGUGGCCUGUGAACCACUGUUAGAGUGACAGAGAUGGAGUUUUGAGAGAUGUUGAACCUGGCACACUCUACCAGAUGGCAGGCUGGGAACACACAUCACCAGGAAAGCCAACAAAACAUCUCCAGAAGACAACCCUUAAAACUGUCAGUAGAAAAAGCUGUGACAAACAUUGUGCCAAUGACCCUAAAAUAACCAACAGCAUGUUGUGUGCUACAGGGAAAAGUAAAUUAUAUCCAAGCGAUGCUUAUGAGGGAGAUUCAGGUGGGCCAUUAAUCUGUGCUGGUCAGCACUGGGGGAUGGUUUCUUUUGGAGAAGAACAUGAAAAUUCAAGCAUACCUGGAGUUUCUACACAGCUGACUGAAGAAUUUAUUGACAGGAUAAAAAGAAACAUUUCCCAUGACAGAUCCAUGAAAGAGUCAAGAGCAUUUUAACAAAUACUGUGCUGUGCAUUAGAGCUGGGUCCUGCUGCUUUGAAACAUCUCCUUUGAAAUGUUCCUCCCAGCUCUACAGCUUUGCUGGCACCACCACAGCUUUAUGAGAACAGUUCAAAAUAUCCACAUUUAUACAGAUGACACCUUUACUAAUCUUUAGUAGGAGACUGCCACUUAGAAAACAUAAUUUGUAUUGGAUUCCACUCUACUUCUUACUGGGAUGGGAAAGUAUUCAUUGCACCUGGGAUAAAGCAAUAUUUGUUAAUGUGUAUGUACACAAGAGUUCCGUUUCAGACUGAAUGUGAAUGAGAUGUCUGCUGAACGAGAAAAAAUUGAAAAAAAAAAAAAAAGCUUAAAAUGUUAAAAUAUUUAUCUGUAAUUUUAUUAAACCCCAAAUACUUCAUUUUACCAUUAUUGAAUAUUUAUUUAUUUCUUUAUUUAUCUAAAUUCAAUUUCAAAGAGUUAAAAUAUUAAAUAGAGAGAAUAGAGAGUUUUUCCAACAGUCUUCAUUAUAAAAAUACAAAUAUAGAGAUAAAAAUAAUGUCUGUCCUUUUUUCCCUUGGGUUUUUUUGUUUGUUUGUUUGUUUUGGUUUUUUUUUUUUGUAGCUGUGCAUGUGGGGUUUUUUUUGGAGGUGGGAUGUUUGGUCUGGUUUUGUUUGUUUUUUUGGGUUUUGUUUUGUUUAGUUGAUCAAAUCAACUAGUCUUCCAGUUUGGCUCAUAAUCUCAUACUUUCAGUUAAUAGUUUACCCAAAAAGUAUAAAUCGUGAUUGUAAGAGAUGUAAUUAUAGUUCUUUAGCACAGCUCCUAUCUAACAUCUGUCAAAACAAGCAGGACUCUGGCUAUGGAUUUCAAGAGACUUCUGGUAACAGAAGGACCUGGUGUGUUUCUGAAGAAAUCUGUGGUUAGCUUGCUGUACUCCAUUACCUGCCAAAUAUUUUCUAGGCCUUUUUUUGAAGUGACCACCUUCAGGGUUUCUGUGCUUACUGCACUAACAUGUACC